rnacentral:rRNA from 1 species
UGGGGAUAACCCCGGAAAACUGGGGAUAAUACCCCAUAGACUACAGAAACUGGAAUGUUCUGUAAUCGAAAGGUGAGCCGCCUUAGGAUGGGUCUGCGGCUGAUUAGGUUGUUGUUGGGGUAACGGCCCAACAAGCCUGUAAUCAGUACGGGUUGUGGGAGCAAGAACCCGGAGAUGGAUUCUGAGACACGAAUCCAGGCCCUACGGGGCGCAGCAGGCGCGAAAACUUUACAAUGCGAGAAAUCGUGAUAAGGGAACCCCGAGUGCCCGUAAAUUCGGGCUGUUAAUCUGUGUAAAAAGCAGGUGGAGAAAGGGCCGGGCAAGACCGGUGCCAGCCGCCGCGGUAAUACCGGCGGCUCGAGUGGUGGCCACUAUUACUGGGCUUAAAGCGUCCGUAGCUGGAUUGUUAAGUCUCUUGGGAAAUCUACCGGCUUAACCGAUAGGCGUUCAAGGGAUACUGGCAAUCUAGGGACCGGAAGAGGUGAGAGGUACUCCAGGGGUAGGAGUGAAAUCCUGUAAUUCUUGAAGGACCACCAGUGGCGAAGGCGUCUCACCAGAACGGACCUGACGGCAAGGGACGAAAGCUAGGGGCACGAACCGGAUUAGAUACCCGGGUAGUCCUAGCCGUAAACGAUACUCGCUAGGUGUCGGCAACGGUGCGACCGUUGUCGGUGCCGUAGGGAAGCCGUGAAGCGAGCCACCUGGGAAGUACGGUCGCAAGGC